GGGGAUAACCUUGCGAAAGUAAGACUAAUACCCAAUGACUCUCUAGAAGACAUCUGAAGGGGAUUAAAGAUUUAUCGGUGAUGGAUGGGGAUGCGUCUGAUUAGCUUGUUGGCGGGGUAACGGCCCACCAAGGCGACGAUCAGUAGGGGUUCUGAGAGGAAGGUCCCCCACAUUGGAACUGAGACACGGUCCAAACUCCUACGGGAGGCAGCAGUGAGGAAUAUUGGUCAAUGGGCGAGAGCCUGAACCAGCCAAGUAGCGUGCAGGAUGACGGCCCUAUGGGUUGUAAACUGCUUUUAUAAGGGAAUAAAGUGAGUCUCGUGAGACUUUUUGCAUGUACCUUAUGAAUAAGGACCGGCUAAUUCCGUGCCAGCAGCCGCGGUAAUACGGAAGGUCCGGGCGUUAUCCGGAUUUAUUGGGUUUAAAGGGAGCGUAGGCCGGAGAUUAAGCGUGUUGUGAAAUGUAGAUGCUCAACAUCUGCACUGCAGCGCGAACUGGUUUCCUUGAGUACGCACAAAGUGGGCGGAAUUCGUGGUGUAGCGGUGAAAUGCUUAGAUAUCACGAAGAACUCCGAUUGCGAAGGCAGCUCACUGGAGCGCAACUGACGCUGAAGCUCGAAAGUGCGGGUAUCGAACAGGAUUAGAUACCCUGGUAGUCCGCACGGUAAACGAUGGAUGCCCGCUGUUGGUCUGAAUAGGUCAGCGGCCAAGCGAAAGCAUUAAGCAUCCCACCUGGGGAGUAC
rnacentral:rRNA from 1 species